UUGAACUCCAGAGGUUUAAGAUUAAGUCCAAUCCAAGUGUCUGAAGGGGAAGAAAAAAAAAAAAAAGGCAAGAGAGAAGGCGAAUAAGAGAGGGAAAGAAUCCCAGCUGCUGGGUGGUGCUACUGUUCUGAGAGCAUUUGAGCUAUUUUCAGUAUUCACAGCAGCCGGAGUUGUCUGCAAAGGGACGAAAAAGCCGUGCCUGAGUGGCCACCUCCCUCCCCCUUGCCUCACGUGGUGGUGGUGUGUGUGGGGGGGGUGCACACACCAGGAAACCCACAACAACUUGGUUCACCGUACAACUACUCAUUUAAAUUUGGGGGAAAACUGCCAGCGCUAUUGGAAAUGACAGCAAAAAAAAAAAAAAAAAAAUCUUGACUGAAAUCUUAAGGAAACACAGUGCCUGGCCAUAAUCCUCAAGUUUCCAGAAUGACUUAACCUGAUUUGUUGACACUAAGAUGGACUAUGUGUGCCUUCUUGAGAGGGAAGAGGUUUCUUCGGACAUUUCCUCACUUAGAGACUGGGGACCAUUCAGUGACACGAUGAGACAGACACGGAUCCCCUGCUUCUGCCUCCAAAGAAGUGAUUCAGAUUGGGCCGCCAGCAAUGACCAGCAGACUUUGCGCCUUCCCUUUGUUUCUAGAAUUAUAAAUUAAGAUCUGGGUGUUCUGUGCCUUCAUUCAUUCAGCAUUUUAUGAGGCAAGUACUUCUGAGCCUCCUCUCUGUCACAUGUUCGGGGAAUACAAUAGUGGGACAAAAUAUUGUCCUUGUCUCUGUAUAGCACAGAGAGGCAGCAAGCAUAAAGAAUCUAUGUUGUAAUCUUUGAUGGCUUCUUUUUCCCAUGAGGAUCUCUUCAAACCUUAGCGACUGGAGAUCAGGAUUUCUUUCUACUGUGACUGAAGGAAGAUGCACGAUGGGUGGUCAUCAGACCAACUUCUGGCUUCUGUGGUUUACUCUGCAUUGUACAACACCCCGUAGAAGGAGAUUUGUUCCUUCCUACCCAAGGAAACAUAGUUAAGUAUUAAAAGCCUUGAAUCCA